AUAAUUGGACAAAAAGGACAAUACCUUCUAUUUUCAGAAACCAAAACUUCAUUGCCCCUUCAAUAUGGGAAUCCAGCCAGACCUUAUUCUUGGACAGCAUCAGUGAAAGGGGCUUGGGAGAGCUCUUGGGCGUAGCAGCAGAGGCAUGUCAUAUAUGGAAACCUUCCAUGAGGGUGACCUCACCACUGGAACCCAUUCAACAUAAACCUUGUCGCAAGAACUAGCAGAGCUCUUUGGACAAAACAUGCUCACCAAGAUGGAAGAACAGAGCCCAUAGGUCCACUUACUAAAUGGACUCCCACUUUACAGUGAAGAAGGAGCUUGCAGUAACCACAAAAGUUUCUGUGUAAGCAAAUUUAGGGAAUUGAAUUUCAGACAGUGUGGUUGUCUCCUUACUUACAAAUUUGGAAUACCUACCUAGGUAACAACUAGCAUCAAAGGUUUUUGAUCUGUAGCCUUUCUUUCUGUCCAUAAUUGGCUAGUAGCUUUUGCUGUAUAUAUAAACCAUUCCCUGUCCGAGAAAAUUAAACUAUAUCAUCAGAGUAAGAAA